UUCGCAGAAUUUUAGUGACAUUGGUUUUCCAAGUAACCGUGGACUUAAAAUUGCUCAUCUAAAUGUAAGAAGAAUAACUAAUAAGAUAGAUUUACUACGCCUUCUUUUACUAAAUAAUCCUUUCGAUGUCCUGACCAUCUCCGAAACCUGGUUAACCAAAAACAUAUCUGAUCCUGAACUAAAUAUUCAAGGUUAUUCUUUUGUCAGAAAUGACCGUAAAAGCAAAAAAGGUGGUGGGUGCAUGAUUUAUAUUCGUGAUGGCUUACCCUAUCGAGCACGGCCUGACUUGCAAGAUGAUAACAUAGAGUCUUGUGUCCUUGAACUCAAUCGGCCGAAAUGUAAAAACAUGCUCAUCUGGUCAAUCUAUCGAGCCCCUGAUGCACCAUUACCCAAUUUCAUCGAUACUUUAAAUUCAAAGAUCUCCUUACUUCCCCAGGACGUUGAACUAGUUUUACUCGGUGACUUUAACGUUGACGUCCUUGCCAAAAGAAGUACUUCUAGUCACAGCCUGAAACAAAGACUUAAUAUUUUUGCUAGUGCAAACAAUUUAAACCAACUCAUCGACACUCCAACGCGGAUAAACGAACUCUCAUCAACUGCAAUUGAUCUCUUGUUUGUUAACAUCAAACACCGCAUUGUAUCAAGUGGUGUGUUAUCGGUACAUAUCAGCGACCACUCCCUCAUUUACUGUGUUGUCAAGGCUGGUGUAACAAAGAGUCCUGGCAGAACAAUCGAAUAUACUUCCUACAAACAUUACUCUAAAGAAGCAUUUCUGGAUGAGCUCAGGAACAUAGACUGGAAUAUUGUUGAUGAAAUCCCCGAUAUUAAUACCGCAGUAAACGUUUGGAAUAAGCUGUUCUUAGAUGUUGCAGAACGUCAUGCCCCUACGAAACGAACUAGGAUAAAAGGUUGUCAUGUUCCUUGGAUGACAUCUGAGUUGAAAACAUCUAUGCAGGAACGCGACCGCUCAUUCCGUAAAGCUACCAAAUCUAAUUCUCCUUCUGACUGGUCCAAAUACAAAAGUUUGAAAUCCCACGUAAAUAGACAAGUCAAAAAGAGUAAAUCGGAAUACUACCUUAAUCUUAUUGAAAUCUCUAAAAAUAAUCCAAACACUCUCUGGAAACACCUCAAUGAAAUUACUUCACGUAAAUCGAGCUCGAACAUUUCAUGUAUUGAAGUUGAUGGAACUCCAUCUACCGAACCCAGGCAAAUCUCCGAAAUUCUUAAUAAUCAUUUUUCGACUAUUGGUUUAACACUCGUUAAUAAAUUUCGCAGUUACGUCUACCAUCACCUCUGCCGUUUGUAAAGACCAUCUUGAAUCUGGCGUAAUGUUUGCUUUUGAUGUAAUCGAUGAGUGUUUUGUUAAAUCCAAACUAAAU
rnacentral:lncRNA from 1 species